ensembl:misc_RNA 7SK 7SK RNA
GCACGUGAGGGUGAUCUGGCUGCAACAUCUGUCACUCCAUUAAUCCUCAGGGUUGAUUCAGCUGAGCUGGCUGGCCAGGCGGGUGUCCCUUUCCUCCCUCCUGCUCCUGUGCAACCCUCCUGAAGUGCAUGCUUGGUCGAACAGGACAACUACCCACCAAAGAAGAGGACAGUCUCCUCAGUCAAGGGUAUAUGAGUAGCUGCACUCCCCUUCUAGAACCUUCAAACAAGCUCUCCAAAAUACCAUAAACUCGGUGGCUCAAGCAACAAAAAUGUGACCAGGUGUGGUGCCACACAUCUAUAAUCC